rnacentral:tRNA from 1 species
CGCUAGGAAGCUAAAAGUGUUAUACAGCGUCAGCCUUUUAAGCUGAAGAUUGGUGAAUAACCCCCACCCCUAGCGC